rnacentral:rRNA from 1 species
GAUGAACGCUGGCGGCGUGCCUAAUACAUGCAAGUCGAGCGAACAGACGAGGAGCUUGCUCCUCUGACGUUAGCGGCGGACGGGUGAGUAACACGUGGAUAACCUACCUAUAAGACUGGGAUAACUUCGGGAAACCGGAGCUAAUACCGGAUAAUAUAUUGAACCGCAUGGUUCAAUAGUGAAAGACGGUUUUGCUGUUACUUAUAGAUGGUUCCGCGCCGCAUUAGCUAGUUGGUAAGGUAACGGCUUACCAAGGCAACGAUGCGUAGCCGACCUGAGAGGGUGAUCGGCCACACUGGAACUGAGACACGGUCCAGACUCCUACGGGAGGCAGCAGUAGGGAAUCUUCCGCAAUGGGCGAAAGCUUGACGGAGCAACGCCGCGUGAGUGAUGAAGGUCUUCGGAUCGUAAAACUCUGUUAUUAGGGAAGAACAAAUGUGUAAGUAACUAUGCACGUCUUGACGGUACCUAAUCAGAAAGCCACGGCUAACUACGUG